rnacentral:rRNA from 1 species
CGCACGGGUGAGUAACGCGUAUGCGACCUGCCCGUUGCAGGGGGGAUAAUCGGGAGAAAUCCCGUCUAAUACCGCGUAACGCCGCGGGGCUGCAUGGCCCUGCGGCCAAAGGGAGCGAUUCCGGCAACGGAUGGGCAUGCGUGACAUUAGCUAGUUGGCGGGGCAACGGCCCACCAAGGCGACGAUGCGUAGGGGUUCUGAGAGGAAGGUCCCCCACACUGGUACUGAGACACGGACCAGACUCCUACGGAAGGCAGCAG